rnacentral:rRNA from 1 species
UACGUAGGGUGCGAGCGUUAAUCGGAAUUACUGGGCGUAAAGCGUGCGCAGGCGGUCUGUUAAGACCGAUGUGAAAUCCCCGGGCUUAACCUGGGAACUGCAUUGGUGACUGGCAGGCUUUGAGUGUGGCAGAGGGAGGUAGAAUUCCACGUGUAGCAGUGAAAUGCGUAGAUAUGUGGAGGAACACCGAUGGCGAAGGCAGCCCCCUGGGUCAAAACUGACGCUCAUGCACGAAAGCGUGGGGAGCAAACAGG